rnacentral:rRNA from 1 species
CGGACGGGUGAGUAAUGCUUGGGAAUCUGGCUUAUGGAGGGGGGUAACUGCGGGAAACUGUAGCUAAUACCGCAUAAUAUCGAAAGAUUAAAGGGUGGGACUUUCGGGCCACCUGCCAUGAGAUGAGCCCAAGUGGGAUUAGGUAGUUGGUUAGGUAAAGGCUGACCAAGCCGACGAUCUCUAGCUGGUCUGAGAGGAUGACCAGCCACACUGGAACUGAGACACGGUCCAG